UGGGGAAAAAAAGAAUGACAAAACCUUCUCUUAAUAUUUACUUUCAUGCUCUAUAUUAUGAAAUCACCAAGAUUAUGAAAUCUUGGUGAUUUCAAAAUGGAGACUAUUGUUCCUAUACCAAUUUCCUUGACUUGAUAUUUUGAAGUUCGCCGAGCUCCAAAAUCUACUCCAAUAUGUGAGCAAAUUCCACAUUUUUUCAGGAAGGGGGAAAGAGCCUUCACGUAGGAUUGAACUGAUAAUUUCAACACCAGCCCACUAUUAGGCAUUCUAGAACUCUUUAAUAUAACAAACGUGUAAAUAAAUCCGGACCAUACAAAUUUACAAUUGUUUUGCAAUAACAUGCACGAUAGAAAAUAUUCUACAUACAAGUCCUUAAAUUAAUUAUAUCCAUAGGAGAUAGAAAAUAUUCUACAUACAAGUCCUUAAAUUAAUUAAAUCCAUAGUACUAUUCUUGAUGGACUCCCUCUCAGUUUACAAACAACCUUGAUUUCAUCUUGAAAAAAGCCACAAAACAUCAAAUCCUCUUUCUCUUCUUCGAUCUCCUGUGAUGAUCCCGUCUUUCCUCAUUUAAGCAUAAACUGCAAAAUAUAAACCAAGAAUUGCUAGGUUGAUG
rnacentral:lncRNA from 1 species